rnacentral:rRNA from 2 species
CAUGUCCUUUUGAUAAUAAUUUAAGGUCUGAUCUGCUCAAUGAAUUUUUAAAUUGCCGCAGUAUUUUGACUGUGCAAAGGUAGCAUAAUAAUUAGUUUCUUAAUUAGAAGCUUGAAUGAAUGAUUGGACAAAAAAGUUUCUGUCUCUCUUUUAUUGUUUUUGAAUUUUAUUUUUAGGUGAAAAAGCUUAAAUUUUUGUAAAAGACGAGAAGACCCUAUAGAGUUUUAUAGUUUAGUUUAACUUAAUUUUAGGAUGGUAUGUUAAUAUAUUCUAUUUAGUUGGGGUGAUUUGAAGAUUGGAUUAAUUCUUUAAUUAUUUAGUUGAUGAUUUUUAAUUUUUUUUAUUAAUUUUAUUGAGUUUAAAAUAAAUUACCUUAGGGAUAACAGCGUAAUUUUUCUUAAAAGUUCUUAUUUAAAGGAAAGUUUGCGACCUCGAUGUUGGAUUAAAAUUAAUUUUUGGUGCAAUAACUUAAAAAUUAGGUCUGUUCGACCUUUAAAAUUUUACAUGAUCUGAGUUUAAACCGGUGUAAACCAGGUUGGAUUCUAUCUUUAGAAAAUAGAAUAUAUUUUAGUACGAAAGGACCAAGUAUAUAUUAUAUUAAUUG